UAAUCUGCCCUUCGGUGGGGGACAACAGUCCGAAAGGACUGCUAAUACCGCAUCCGUCGGCGAACUCUUCGGAGAUUGCCGGGAAAGGUGGCCUCUUCAUGAACGCUACCGCCGAAGGAUGAGUCCGCGUCCCAUCAGCUAGUUGGCGGGGUAAUGGCCCACCAAGGCUUAGACGGGUAGCUGGUCUGAGAGGAUGGCCAGCCACACUGGAACUGAGACACGGUCCAG
rnacentral:rRNA from 1 species